CGAGGACGAACGCUGGCGGCAUGCCUAACACAUGCAAGUCGAACGGAGAAUUCCUUCGGGAAUUCUUAGUGGCGAACGGGUGAGUAACGCGUAGGCAACCUGCCCUUUGGAUGGGGACAACAUUCCGAAAGGAGUGCUAAUACCGAAUGUGACGAUUAUACCGCAUGGUUUAAUCGUGAAAGAUGGCCUCUACAUGUAAGCUAUCGCCAAAGGAUGGGCCUGCGUCUGAUUAGCUAGAUGGCGGGGUAACGGCCCACCAUGGCGACGAUCAGUAGCCGGUCUGAGAGGAUGAACGGCCACAUUGGGACUGAGACACGGCCCAGACUCCUACGGGAGGCAGCAGUGGGGGAUAUUGCACAAUGGGGGAAACCCUGAUGCAGCAACGCCGCGUGAGGGAAGAAGGUCUUCGGAUUGUAAACCUAAGUUGUCAGGGACGAAUACAUGACGGUACCUGAAAAGAAAGCUCCGGCUAACUACGUG
rnacentral:rRNA from 1 species